rnacentral:tRNA from 1 species
CCAUAGCUCAGUUGGUAGAGCACUUGACUGUUAAUCAAGUUGUCGCAGGUUCGAAUCCUGCUGG